GGGGGUCAGCAGUGGGGAAUAUUGGACAAUGGGCGCAAGCCUGAUCCAGCCAUGCCGCGUGUGUGAAGAAGGCCCUAGGGUUGUAAAGCACUUUCAGCAGGGAGGAAGGCCUUAAAGUUAAUACCUUUGAGGAUUGACGUUACCUGCAGAAGAAGCACCGGCUAACUCCGUGCCAGCAGCCGCGGUAAUACGGAGGGUGCAAGCGUUAAUCGGAAUUACUGGGCGUAAAGCGCGCGUAGGCGGUUAGUUAAGCUGGAUGUGAAAGCCCUGGGCUCAACCUGGGAACUGCAUUCAGAACUGGCUGGCUAGAGUACGAGAGAGGGUAGUGGAAUUUCCUGUGUAGCGGUGAAAUGCGUAGAUAUAGGAAGGAACAUCAGUGGCGAAGGCGACUGCCUGGCUCGAUACUGACGCUGAGUGCGA
rnacentral:rRNA from 1 species